GUCGAUAUGUCCGAGUGGUUAAGGAGGUAGACUUGAAAUCUACUGGGUUUCGCCCGCGCAGGUUCGAAUCCUGCUGUCGACG
rfam:Cajanus cajan CcLG03_240, whole genome shotgun sequence.